GAUGAACGCUGGCGGCGUGCCUAAUACAUGCAAGUCGAGCGAACAGACGAGGAGCUUGCUCUUCUGACGUUAGCGGCGGACGGGUGAGUAACACGUGGAUAACCUACCUAUAAGACUGGGAUAACUUCGGGAAACCGGAGCUAAUACCGGAUAAUAUAUUGAACCGCAUGGUUCAAUAGUGAAAGACGGUUUUGCUGUCACUUAUAGAUGGAUCCGCGCCGCAUUAGCUAGUUGGUAAGGUAACGGCUUACCAAGGCGACGAUGCGUAGCCGACCUGAGAGGGUGAUCGGCCACACUGGAACUGAGACACGGUCCAGACUCCUACGGGAGGCAGCAGUAGGGAAUCUUCCGCAAUGGGCGAAAGCCUGACGGAGCAACGCCGCGUGAGUGAUGAAGGUCUUCGGAUCGUAAAACUCUGUUAUUAGGGAAGAACAAAUGUGUAAGUAACUGUGCACGUCUUGACGGUACCUAAUCAGAAAGCCACGGCUAACUACGUG
rnacentral:rRNA from 1 species